GAUGAACGCUGGCGGCGUGCCUAAUACAUGCAAGUCGAACGAAACUUCUUUAUCACCGAGUGCUUGCACUCACCGAUAAAGAGUUGAGUGGCGAACGGGUGAGUAACACGUGGGCAACCUGCCCAAAAGAGGGGGAUAACACUUUGAAACAGGUGCUAAUACCGCAUAACCAUAGUUACCGCAUGGUAACUAUGUAAAAGGUGGCUAUACUACCGCUUUUGGAUGGGCCCGCGGCGCAUUAGCUAGUUGGUAGGGUAAAGGCUUACCAAGGCAAUGAUGCGUAGCCGAAUUGAGAGGUUGAUCGGCCACAUUGGGACUGAGACACGGCCCAAACUCCUACGGGAGGCAGCAGUAGGGAAUCUUCCACAAUGGGCGAAAGCCUGAUGGAGCAACGCCGCGUGGGUGAAGAAGGUCUUCGGAUCGUAAAACCCUGUUGUUAGAGAAGAAAGUGCGUGAGAGUAACUGUUCACGUUUCGACGGUAUCUAACCAGAAAGCCACGGCUAACUACGUG
rnacentral:rRNA from 1 species